rnacentral:rRNA from 1 species
UACGUAGGUGGCAAGCGUUGUCCGGAUUUACUGGGCGUAAAGAGCGCGCAGGCGGCCGAGUAAGUCGAAUGUGAAAGCCCCCGGCUCAACUGGGGAAGGUCAUUCGAUACUGUUCGGCUUGAAGAUAGGAGAGGGAAGCGGAAUUUCAGGUGUAGUGGUGAAAUGCGCAGAUAUCAGGAGGAACACCGGUGGCGAAGGCGGGUCUCUGGGCCGAUACUGACGCUGAGGAGCGAAAGCGUGGGGAGCGAACAGG